GGGAAUGUAGCUCAGUGGUAGAGUGCUUACCUAGCACGUAGGAGGCAUUCACUGAGUUCAGUCCCC
rnacentral:tRNA from 1 species